GAUGAACGCUAGCGGCAGGCUUAACACAUGCAAGUCGAGGGGCAGCGCGAUGUAGCAAUACAUUGGCGGCGACCGGCGCACGGGUGCGUAACACGUAUGGAACUUACCCUUUACUGGGAGAUAGCCCGGAGAAAUCCGGAUUAAUAUCCCAUAAUAAACGAAGUGGCAUCACUUUGUUUUGAAAGCUCCGGCGGUAAAGGAUGGCCAUGCGCACGAUUAGCUAGUAGGUGAGGUAACGGCUCACCUAGGCUACGAUCGUUAGGGGGCCUGAGAGGGUUAUCCCCCACACUGGUACUGAGACACGGACCAGACUCCUACGGGAGGCAGCAGUGAGGAAUAUUGCGCAAUGGAGGCAACUCUGACGCAGCCAUGCCGCGUGCAGGAAGAAGGCGCUACGCGUUGUAAACUGCUUUUAACCGGGAAGAAACCCUCCGACGUGUCGGAGGUUGACGGUACCGGAGGAAUAAGCACCGGCUAACUUCGUGCCAGCAGCCGCGGUAAAGUAGACG
rnacentral:rRNA from 1 species